CCCAUACUCCUUCUCAUUAUAAGAUGAGUUGGGAAAGUUUUUUCGCUAAAGGAUUGGGCUAUAUGGUAUCAGCUUGUUGGUGAGGUAACGGCUCACCAAGGCUAUGACGCCUAACUGGUCUGAGAGGAUGAUCAGUCACACUGGAACUGAGACACGGUCCAGACUCCUACGGGAGGCAGCAGUGGGGAAUAUUACACAAUGGAGGAAACUCUGAUGUAGCAACGCCGCGUGGAGGAUGACACAUUUCGGUGCGUAAACUCCUUUUAUAUGGGAAGAUAAUGACGGUACCAUAUGAAUAAGCACCGGCUAACUCCGUGCCAGCAGCCGCGGUAAUACGGAGGGUGCAAGCGUUACUCGGAAUCACUGGGCGUAAAGCGCAUAUAGGCGGUCUUGUAAGUUGGGUGUGAAAGCCUAUGGCUCAACCAUAGAACUGCACCCAAAACUACUAGACUAGAGUCUGGGAGAGGAAAAUGGAAUUAGUUGUGUAGGGGUAAAAUCCGUAGAGAUAACUAGGAAUACCAAAAGCGAAGGCAAUUUUCUGGAACAGUACUGACGCUCAGAUGCGAAAGCGUGGGUAGCAAACAGGAUUAGAUACCCUGGUAGUCCACGCCCUAAACGAUGAAUGUUAGUCGUCGGGAGGCUCGUCCUUUCGGUGAUGCAGCUAACGCAUUAAACAUUCCGCCUGGGGAGUACGGUCGCAAGAUUAAAACUCAAAGGAAUAGACGGGGACCCGCACAAGUGGUGGAGCAUGUGGUUUAAUUCGAAGAUACGCGAAGAACCUUACCUAGCCUUGACAUUGAUAGAAUCCGAUGGAAACAUUGGAGUGCCAGUUUACUGGAGCUUGAAAACAGGUGCUGCACGGCUGUCGUCAGCUCGUGUCGUGAGAUGUUGGGUUAAGUCCCGCAACGAGCGCAACCCUCGUCCUUAGUUACUAACGGUUCGGCCGAGGACUCUAAGGAGACUGCCUUCGUAAGGAGGAGGAAGGUGAGGACGACGUCAAGUCAUCAUGGCCCUUACGGCUAGGGCGACACACGUGCUACAAUGGAUAGGACAAUGAGACGCAAUACCGUGAGGUGGAGCAAAUCUAUAAACCUAUUCUCAGUUCGGAUUG
rnacentral:rRNA from 1 species